rnacentral:ncRNA from 1 species
UAUAUUUGCCGCUUGAAAGAAAACCUUUCAUAUACAUAAAAAUCAUUUUAAAAAUAUUAGCAUG